rnacentral:rRNA from 1 species
GUAGGGACCAAGCGUUAUCCGGAAUUAUUGGGCGUAAAGGGUGCGUAGGCGGCCAUGUAAGUCUAAGUUAAAAGCCCACAGCUUAACUGUGGAAGGUGCUCAGAAACUGUAUGGCUUGAAUUCAGAAGAGGCAAGUGGAAUUCUAUGUGGAGCGGUGGAAUGCGUAGAUAUAUGGAGGAACACCAGUGGCGAAGGCGGCUUGCUGGGCUGAUAUUGACGCUGAUGCACGAAAGCGUGGGGGGAGCAAACAGGAUUAGAUACCCUGGUAGUCCACGCCCGUAAACGAUGAGUACUAAGUGUUGGAGAAAUUCAGUGCUGAACUUAACAGAUUAAGUACUCCGCCUGGGAUUACGACCGCAAGGUUG